rnacentral:rRNA from 1 species
GAUGAACGCUGGCGGCGUGCCUAAUACAUGCAAGUCGAACGGGGAGUAGCAAUACUCUUAGUGGCGAACGGGUGAGUAACGCGUUGGUACCUGCCCCGAAGCGGGGGAUAACGGACCGAAAGGUCCGCUAUUACCCCAUGUGCUCGGUAACGAGUAAAGGUGAAAACCACUUUGGGAGGGGCCUGCGUCCCAUCAGCUAGUUGGUAAGGUAACGGCUUACCAAGGCGAUGACGGGUAGGGGACCUGAGAGGGUGGCCCCCCACAAUGGAACUGAAACACGGUCCAUACACCUACGGGUGGCAGCAGUAGGGAAUAUUGGUAAUGGGCGCAAGCCUGAACCAGCAACGCCGCGUGUGCGAUGACGGCCUUCGGGUUGUAAAGCACUUUUGACUGGGACGAGGAAGGACGGUACCGGUCGAAUCAGCCUCGGCUAACUACGUG